GUAAGAUUGAAAGGAGCAACGCUUAGAAGCUUUUGAGAAAUUAGCAGCGGCAUAAAGAAAAGGAGAUAAAGGCUUUACGGUGAUCAGAUUGAAGUCAUUGGAGGUUGUUUGGUUGGUGUUGUACUCGUUGCAAGGUUGGAAAAUUUAUCAGUAGCGAGAUACUAUUGCACAAGGUGAAACUAGUGGGUGAAGGAUUCUACUGCUAAGGUGAGCCUUCGCAUCGUUUGUGGAGGCUUUCGUUUCAGCUUUGGCUAUCUAGUUUAUCUUUCUUCUCAUUGAGUUUGCAUGUCCUAAAGACUGAACUCAUGUAACUUUAUUUUAGAUGCUCCAUGUCUUAGUGUGGGAUUUAGGACAAAGAUUUAAUUCUUGAGUGAUUGUUGAAUUAUAGUUUGAUUAUGGAUUUUUGUUUGAGUUAUUAUUCGUUAUUUAUUGAUGCCUUGAAAUUUCA